UUUGUUAUAUGUACAGUGAAAGGCAUGGUGUACUAUGGUCUUUCUUCCCUCCAUCCAUACAGCUGUCCUCGAAACAUUCUGAGGCAGAGCAAUAGAAGAAAGAGACUGAACUUCCUGUCUAAGCAACUUUUUGAUUGUUUAAUAAAAGCCAAAAAGGACUUCUGAAUAAAUUAUUGGAUAUCUUUUGUAGCUGCUUAGCCAAGAUAUUCAGAGAGGGACCCAAUCCAUUGUUUUUAGUCAUGCUUAUCCAACACAGUUUUGGGGAGAGCAGAAUGAUAGAUGCCACCCUAAAUUUCUUAAUUCCAUUUAUAUAUGGAAUUGCAUAUAUAAAAACCUUUCUGUAUGACAUGUACAUUAAAACAGAAUGCAUUGAAAAGAUGUUGCUCAGAGUGACAGGUUUGAAGACUUUGAAUCGUAAGCUGUUAAUAUAUAACAGGCAGCUUGGAGAAGCCUGCAGACUUAAGAGUAAAGUGUAUAUGUUGCAUCCAGAGAUCACAAUUGCAUAUAUAAAAACCUUUCUGUAUGACAUGUACAUUAAAACAGAAUGCAUUGAAAAGAUGUUGCUCAGAGUGACAGGUUUGACGACUUUGAAUUGUAAGCUGUUAAUAUAUAACAGGCAGCUUGGAGAAGCCUGCAGACUUAAG